UACGGAGGGAGCUAGCGUUGUUCGGAAUUACUGGGCGUAAAGCGCACGUAGGCGGCUUUGUAAGUUAGAGGUGAAAGCCCGGGGCUCAACCCCGGAACUGCCUUUAAGACUGCAUCGCUUGAAUCCAGGAGAGGUGAGUGGAAUUCCGAGUGUAGAGGUGAAAUUCGUAGAUAUUCGGAAGAACACCAGUGGCGAAGGCGGCUCACUGGCCUGGUAUUGACGCUGAGGCACGAAAGCGUGGGGAGCAAACAGG
rnacentral:rRNA from 1 species